UACGGAGGGUGCAAGCGUUGUCCGGAUUUACUGGGUGUAAAGGGCGUGUAGGCGGAGUGAUGUGUCGGGAGUGAAAUCGUACGGCUUAACCGUAUCAACUGCUUCCGAAACUAUCACCCUUGAAUGUCAGAGGGGCAGAUGGAAUUCCUGGUGUAGCGGUGGAAUGCGUAGAUAUCAGGAAGAACACCGGUGGCGAAGGCGAUCUGCUGGCUGAACAUUGACGCUGAGGCGCGAAAGCGUGGGGAGCAAACAGG
rnacentral:rRNA from 1 species